rnacentral:rRNA from 1 species
GGAUCUUCGGACCUUGCGCUAAUAGAUGAGCCUAAGUCGGAUUAGCUAGUUGGUGGGGUAAAGGCCUACCAAGGCGACGAUCUGUAGCGGGUCUGAGAGGAUGAUCCGCCACACUGGGACUGAGACACGGCCCAGACUCCUACGGGAGGCAGCAGUGGGGAAUAUUGGACAAUGGGGGGAAGCCUGAUCCAGCCAUGCCGCGUGUGUGAAGAAGGCCUUUUGGUUGUAAAGCACUUUAAGCGAGGAGGAGGCUACUCUAGUUAAUACCUAGAGAUAGUGGACGUUACUCGCAGAAUAAGCACCGGCUAACUCUGUGCCAGCAGCCGCGGUAAUACAGAGGGUGCGAGCGUUAAUCGGAUUUACUGGGCGUAAAGCGUGCGUAGGCGGCUGAUUAAGUCGGAUGUGAAAUCCCUGAGCUUAACUUAGGAAUUGCAUUCGAUACUGGUCAGCUAGAGUAUGGGAGAGGAUGGUAGAAUUCCAGGUGUAGCG